AAUCACCUUUUUAUUUUCUCAGAAAUUACAAUUUGGAGAGAUGGGCUAUGAUCUAUGAAUCAGUCCAAAACCCAAGAGGUGAACCUUUGAAUUGAUUGCGACCAAGGACCUCCACUUCACUGAUCCUCAACACUGGAGCCCCAAAAGGGUGCAUGCCCAGCCCACUCCUGUACUCCAUGUUCAUCCAUGACUGCGUAGCCACACACACCUCCAACUCAAUCAUCAAGUUUGCAGAUGACACAACCAUAGUUGGCCUGAUUACCAACAAUGGUGAGACAGCCUACAGGGAGGAGGUGAGAUCCCUGGUGAAGUGGUGCCAGGAAAAUAACCUCUCUCUCAACGUCAACAAAAUUAAGGAGUUGAUCGUGGACUUCAGGAAAAAGCAGAGGGAGCACGUCCCUAUCCACAUUGACGGGACCGCAGGGGAGAAGGUGGAAAGUUCCUCAGCGUACACAUCACUAACAAUCUGAAAUGGUCCACCCACAGACAGUGUGGUGAAGGCGCAACAGCGCCUCAUCAACCUCAGGAGGCUGAAGAAAUUUAGUUUUGGCCCCCAAGACUCUCAAACUUUUACAGGUGCACAAUUGAGAGCAUCCCGUCGUGCUGUAUCACCACCACCGCCAUGUAUUGCAUGGCAAUGGUGGCAACUGCACCUCCCAGAAAUGCAAGGCUCUACAGAGGGUGGUGCAGUCUGCCCAACGCAUCACCGGGGGGCACACUGCUUGCCCUCCAGGACACCUACAGCACCCAAUGUGAUAGGAAGGCCAAAAAUAUCACCAUGGACGUCAACCAUCCAACCGUCCGGCCUGUUCACCCCACUAUCAUCCAGAAGGUAAGGUCAGUACAGGUGCAUUAAAGCUGGGAACAAGAGACAAAAGCUGUUUUUCAAUCUCAAGGCCAUCAGACUGUUAAUUAGCCAUCACUAGCCGGCUACCACCUGUUACUCAACCCUGCACCUUAGAGGCUGCUGAAAUAUACAGACAAGGAAUCACUGGUCACUUUAAUGUUUACAUACUGCUUUACACAUUUCAUAUUUAUACAGUGUAUUCUCAUCCUAACAUCCUCAUCCUAAUAUUUAUAUGUUUCUUAAUUCCAUUAUUUUACUUUUAGAUGUGUGAAUUGUUAGAUAUUACUGCACUGUUGGAGCUAGGAACACAAGCAUUUCGCUACACCCGGAAUAACAUCUGCAAGAUUUGUGCAUGAGACCAAUACAAUUUCAUUUGAUUUUAAAUGCAUGUGUCUAUUACACAGUCCCCCUCAAACUACACAUAUUUGGUUAGUAGAGACCCUGUUCAGUGUUUUCCACCCCACUUUAGCUGUGACAGGUAGAAAAAGUUCUAUACAAGCCAAUAAGUAUAUGGCAAUGAAUGGUGGCGUAAGGAGUCACCAGUACUCUGUAUUAAACCUGUUGCCCAGCAAAAGUGUAUUUCUUUAAAUAUAGCCUACACAAUAGCUUUCAACAUAA